UCAAUUCCUGCUGCCAAGAAAGCUGACAUCAAAACAAAGAUAGCCCGACUUCAGGACCAAGUGAGAAAAGCACAGAAGCAUAUUGCUGAGGAAAACAAGUGAGCCCUGAAGGAGGGAGAACAAGAGAGGGAGAACGAAAAAGAAGAGCUGCGAGCUGUAAGCUGUGCGGGAGGGAAAAAGACUAAAGUAAUUCAUACCUCUUGAAGAUUAACAGGUAUAAAAAAUUGCUAUAAAAAAUAUAUUUUCUGCUAGUGUCGAAAGACCAAAGCUUCACUAGAAGCUUCCUCCAAUCAGAAAGUAGGUGAACCUUUGCAUCACGAGUGGCUGGGAAGAGUGAGAAGAGAAAGAGGGCGAACGCGGGAGACACCUCCGAUGAAGCUUGCAGCGGCGACAGUGGACCGGAAGAGAGUCAGAUGGUAACUGAAGAAGCGGAGAGAAAACAGGAAAAAGAAAAGGAAGAAAAGCUUAUUCUUCAUAAGUCCUCUAUGAGCUGCUUGAUUCUCCUUUUAUCCAAACAGAAGAAAAAAGAAAAGAAAGUUGAGAAAGGUUCAUGAUUGACAACAGAUAUCAAUCCAGACAUACUUAAUUGUUCAUACAUGUCUAAUUUUCUUCAACUUCAUUAUAUUCAUCGUUUGGCACGCUUCCUUGAUCAGAUACCUACAAUAUAACAUAAUAGUUAGUUGGUUAUAUAUUUAAAAAAAAAUCAUACAAAUAAAUUUAGUAAUUAUUACCGAGGGUUGAAAUGCUGCAAACUUUGAAGGCAAUUGACCUUGAUAAUUUUGCAACAUGAAUGCUAUCAUUUCUUUCAUAUCAUUGACUUGUGAUAUCAAUGAAGAUUUUAACAAAUGAAAGUAUUAAAAAAAAAUGAUACCUAACAAGUUAAUCAUAAAAGAAACAAACCAAGUAAUUGAUAAAAUAUUUAUUAACCUGAGUUUGUAAUUCAUCAUUAGAAGG